CCUACGGGAGGCAGCAGUGAGGAAUAUUGGUCAAUGGCCGAGAGGCUGAACCAGCCAAGUCGCGUGAGGGAAGAAUGUCCUAUGGAUUGUAAACCUCUUUUGUCAGGGAGCAAAGUCACCCACGUGUGGGUGUUGGAGAGUACAUGACGAAAAAGCAUCGGCUAACUCCGUGCCAGCAGCCGCGGUAAUACGGGGGAUGCGGGCGUUAUCCGGAUUUAUUGGGUUUAUAGGGUGCGUGGGCGGGUUAUCAAGUCAGCGGUAAAAUCGUGGAGCUAAACUCCAUCCAGCCGUUGAAACUGGUGAUCUUGAGUGGGCGAGAGGUAUGCGGAAUGCGUGGUGUAGCGGUGAAAUGCAUAGAUAUCACGAAGAACUCCGAUUGCGAAGGCAGUUCACUGGACUGCAACUGACACUGAGGCUCGAAAGUGUGGGUAUCAAACAGGAUUAGAUACCCCAGUAGUC
rnacentral:rRNA from 1 species